rnacentral:lncRNA from 1 species
CAACUCACGCGCGCGAAGGACAACCUACGGCCGAGGAGUGUAGGCCGACGUCGGCCGGAAGAGAUAAAUCUCAAGCGCCAUCAUGAGCUUCCUUCAAUGCCGAGCACGCCUUGUUGGAGGAGCUCGGAUGGGACGCCGGUUCGGCCGGCGGAGGCCGUUCGGCGUGCGAAGACCGGCGGUCGAAGCUCCAUCGACCGGCAGCCCCCUCGCCUAUAAAUAGGCUCCUCCCGACGAUGGCAAAACACGGCGAACUCGGAGAUCUUCCCUUGAGAGACUUCAGGGGAGGAUUAAAGAGCGAGCACGCGAGAGAUCGGGUCGCGAAGCUCGAACGACCUCCCUCCGAGAGACUUCGGGGGAGGCCGGCGGCAAGCGAGCCCGAGGGGGAGAGAUCCGAGUGGGUGGAGGCUUAGCGAGAGGGAAACCGGAGUAAAGGGGGCAGAUCUGAGCGUGAGGGGGUUGAACGAGGUCAGAUCCGGAGGAGAGGGUCGGGCUGAGAAGCGAAGAGGUUAGAUCUGAGUGUGAGAGGGCUGAACGAGAGAAGCCGAAGGAGAGAGGGUCGGAUUCGAGGAGAAAGCAGGUACGGUCGACGCUGCCCGACGCCGUCCCUGCGCCAAGCCGAGCGCUCCCGACCACCCCGACGCUGUUGCUGCGACCGAUUCGCCCAAAGUCGCACUAGAUCUGAGAGCUGAGGGGCCGCCGUCUCUGCCCUGUCGUCCCGACCACCACCGUUUGCCGCCACGUCCCGCCGUUGCUACAGCCAGGUAAACGCCGACGCAUCUCCACCCGAACCGCCGCACCGCGUCCUGUCGAGUAGUCAGCCGUUGCUAUCUUCCCAGUCGCCGCCGCGUCGCAGUUCCGUCGCCCGUCAUCGCCGUCGCCGUCGCCAUCUGUCCGGUGAUGUUUCGGUCUCCAUAGGCGCCGCGAGUAGAGAGAGGUGGGAGAGAGAGGUCACGCCGCGAGCCAGGUCGGCGAAACCUGCUAAUCGGGUAGGGUUUGGCCGGGUCGGGUCGUCGGGCCGGGCGUCUGGGUCUCUGCGGGUCGGUUGGGCCAGUUGCGUGUGGGCUGAUCUCCCGUGGGCCUGAGGAUGGGCGUCCCUUAUUCGUGGGCCGCGAUUAAAAAAAAAAUGGAGAAAAAAGCCUGAGUCGGGCCCGCGUUGCGGGCCCGUCUGUGUCUCGGGCGGACGAAGCGGGUCGGACCCAACCCGGGGAUCC